GAGAGGAAUAGGGUUUCAGCGGCGGCGGCAGCUGCCGAGCCCCAUCCCCCGAUCCAAAGCACCUCAAACCACCGCUCUGCCCAGAUCCACCCAGCUACUGCGGUGAGCCCGUGGGGACGGUGGCGGUGGCGACGGAGCGGUUCCCUCGGGAGGUGAGCUCGGAGGCGUUAUUCCACUGCGUCCGCCUAGGCCCGGUCCACGAGACUGGCACCGAGGUGGCGUACCAGACCAGCGUCAAAAUCGCCGGCCACGUCUUCAAGGGCAUCCUGCACGACGUCGGCCCGGACCCAUCAUCGUCGGUCGCUGCGAGCGACGACUACUUCCGCCACGCCACCGACGGGUCCUCCCCGGGCACGGUGGGCGAAGGCAGCGUCGCGGGGGCGGGCCCGUCUCGUCAUUGGCUGUGGUCAUGGACCCGUACCCGACGCCAACGCCCGAACCGUACGACGGCUCACAUUUCUUCCACGGCCAUCCGAGGUACGUUGAAAAUAAAUAUUGGAUCUCAAAAAUGGCAUUCUAGAUCUAUCUACCAUUUCGCUUACACAUUAUGGCUAUCUCACAUUCAUGGGUUGCAAGAUAUGGACGACAUGAUUUUCUCCAUAUUAGGAAAGCUGGAAGAGCCUUUUGAACUCACUUUUUUUUGCUAACAAUGGUGUUAUGGUGAAACAUAGUUUUGCGUGUAUGUACCAACAACUAAAAUAUAAAUACGACAUUAUCAUAGUUGAGUACAGGAAUAAUUAUUCUUAUAUCUUAUUGUAAAAUCUAAAACAGUUCUCCUGUAGAUGGUUAGCUUGCAUUUUACGCUACAAUUACCUCAGAUCA